rnacentral:rRNA from 1 species
UAGGGAAUCUUCGGCAAUGGACGGAAGUCUGAUCGAGCAACGCCGCGUGAGUGAAGAAGGUUUUCGGAUCGUAAAGCCCUGUUGUUAGAGAAGAACGUUGGCAGGAGUGGCAAAUCUACCCAGUGACGGUAACUAACCAGAAAGGGACGGCUAACUACGUGCCAGCAGCCGCGGUAAUACGUAGGUCCCGAGCGUUGUCCGGAUUUAUUGGGCGUAAAGCGAGCGCAGGCGGUUCUUUAAGUCUGAAGUUAAAGGCAGUGGCUUAACCAUUGUACGCUUUGGAAACUGGAGGACUUGAGUGCAGAAGGGGAGAGUGGAAUUCCAUGUGUAACGGUGAAAUGCGUAGAUAUAUGGAGGAACACCGGUGGCGAAAGCGGCUCUCUGGUCUGUAACUGAAGCUGAGGCUCGAAAGCGUGGGGAGCAAACAGG